CCAAGACCCGAAACUGAGAGCCACCAGUCAGUCAGUCAAUCACAGUUCACUGGGACUGCUGUAGCACUGGAAUGGAACCCGUUAGCCACAGCAAGACUAACAGGCAUACAUCAGAGAUAUUGUGGGUUUGGUUCAAGAUUACCACAGUAAAGAACACUAUCUCCUGGAGUUUCACCUGCUCAAAAGCCCU